GCGCCCUCAAUCCCCCGAAAUUUCCAACAAAAAAUUCCCUAAAAUUCGAUUCCCUCCGCUGGAUUCUUACACGCACCUUUUCCUAUAACACAACCCAAAAAAGAUAACUAAACAGGAAAUAAUCUUCUCUCACCAAAAUCAAAAACCCAAACUUCUCUUGUGUUUAAUUACCCUAAACCGAAACCAAUCUUCGAAUCUUUACUUCAUCGGAAUAAUUUUCUUCCGCAAAAACAAGUCGCAAUCAGCGUUGAGUGUUUCAUCUACUUCACAUCAACAUACCGUUAAAGGGAUUCUUGAUGCUGGGAUGACCUACUACUAGAUGCACUUAGGCUAAUUUUUAAGAAACUAUCUCUUCAAGAUAUUUUUAUAGGGGUUUCUAGAGUCUGCAAAUCAUGGGGAAAAGGUGUUGCUGGACCUUACUGAUGCCCUGAAGGAGCUUAACAUGGAUAUUUUUUGUGGAGAAUGUGUUGAAGAUGGUAAACCAACCUUGGGCAAUCUUUCGUAUACAUCUAGUCAAUUGUUGUUCUGCCAAUAUUGCUGUUUUUCCCUAUAGGUCAUGAAGGCAAAGUUACUACCGCCGGAUUCAUCCCUGAUGGCAGACAUCUGGCUAGUGGUUCUGGUGAUAUAAUGGUCUGUUUAUGGAUCUUACUACUUAAACCCCCUAAAUACACUUGUAGAGGAUUUCUCUUUGGGAUGUCCUUUCAUUGAGGACAUGGAUUUUUUGGAGUAUCCUUUAUGUUAAGAUCACUAUGGCCAUGUAUGCAGGGAUGGCUCAGUAUGGCAGGUGGUCUUGUAAAAAUGCAUAACCUCCAAACAUGGGAUCUUUUCGUUGUUUAGAGAGAAGAGACCUCUGGAAAAAAUUUAAGUUCUAUCUCUGAACCUCCCGCCUUACAACAUCUACUAGACGAAAAGUAAGUUCUUUGAAAAAGAUCCACUCGUAGAAUCGAAACAAUCUUAUGUGCACAUUUUGUGGUUUAUCGAACUGCAAACUUAACCACUAACUGUAUAUAUGAUUAUAUAUGGUAAUUAUGUAAUGAUAAAGGUUUACACAUUCAGUUGACAAUUGUGCAUAGGUAAACAUAAAACCCUUUCUUGCCAUGUCAAAACUAUGGCACAAACUGCAAGUAUGGAAGAAAAACAUGUCAAGUCUGUAAAAGAGUCUUUUAAUAGUCAACACAUUUUAGCAAUAACUA